rnacentral:rRNA from 1 species
CGGGCGGACGGGUGAGUAACGCGUGGGUAACCUGCCUCAUACAGGGGGAUAACAGUUAGAAAUGACUGCUAAUACCGCAUAAGACCACAGCACCGCAUGGUGCGGGGGUAAAAACUCCGGUGGUAUGAGAUGGACCCGCGUCUGAUUAGCUGGUUGGUAAGGUAACGGCUUACCAAGGCGACGAUCAGUAGCCGACCUGAGAGGGUGACCGGCCACAUUGGGACUGAGACACGGCCCAA